AUUACGUUUCAGAUUCGAUCAAA
rnacentral:snRNA from 1 species